CCUUGAGGAGCUGCAUUCUUUGAUUCUAGUUGUAAGUGACUAUGCCCCACUUUCUGCCUGGUGGGGAGGAGGGUUAGGAGAAUGCAGUAAAUGUCAGAGAUGAGGGGAGUUGGGUUUUUUCCUUUAAACAAACGGUUUAGGAGGAACUCGGUGGGAGUAACAGAAGACCCUUAAACAUGACUCACCCCCUCCUCUGCCCUCCCGGGUUCUAGGAAAAGCAGAGUCCCAGACUUGACCAAGCACGACAAAGGCCCAGUGAUACCAUCUCUCAGUCCACUCAGUGGAGUUAGCUGAAAAACACUGUAUUUAAUUAGCAUCUACUCUCCAACCUUGUAAAUGUGAGCGGAGAGCUACGCCUGACAGCUGACCUGACAGGCCCAGGACGGGAACAUCCCAGGCAACACAGAAGGCAGGGACUGUCUUAAAAAUGUGAAUGAUCCUAUUGCCUCCAAGGAGCCUGGCGGACUCUUUGUGUGCUUCUCUGAAGGCGAGACUGCAUCAUGAGAUUACUCCCAAUUACUCAGCACAGAGGCGAAGACAAUUUGGGCUCUGUAAACACGAGGCCAGGUAGGUAUGUGUCUGCAUGAGCAAUGGAGUGCAGAGAAAGCUCAUUUGGAGGGAAAGCUAUUUAGAGCAAAGAGAAUUUUUGUUUUCAUGUUUCUUUUGCCUUGAGUCUGAGUGAAUUAAAGGCCAAGAUUGGGUUUGGCGACCCGAGUCCCCGGUCCCUAAGCACUCAGCAAUCAUCACAGCAGCCGAUGGAUUUCGAUGAAAGUUAAAUGAAAACACCCUUUGUUUUUGCUUUCUCUUUCCAGGAUUGGAGUCAGGAUAGAAAACUUUCAUAUGCUGUGUUUAUUAGUUCAUUCUGACGUUGGUCCGCAGGGUCUGAUGGGAAUAUCUUGAUGUAAUACUGACAUUUGACUCUCAUGAGGUUUGUCCUUAGAGUCUUUAAUCCAUGACCCAUUGAUUACUUUCUGGCCGGUUUGGAAGCUUUGUUCUUCCUGAGAAGAGGAGACGGUGUGAACCUGGGCCAUGUGGAGGGGGGGUGGAAACGGCUUCUCCUGUGCAGACUUCCCUGCUGCCCAGUGGAGCCACUGCCACCUUUAUAUGUUCUUGGUUCUCUUUCCUGGCCUCAUCACCCUUCUGUGGCCAAUUCAGGGUCCCACCCGUCCAUAGACGGCACAGCAGUGAUCCAAGUGGGUGUGGGUUUUUCCUGAUGGACCUCAUUCAACUUCUGAGAGUGUGAAGGGCCUGGGCCAGAGGAAGGGCACCCCACUAACCCGGAGAAGGUUGGGAAUGGCAGCAUCUCUGUGCAGCUCUGCGUCCUAGGCAUUGGCCUUGCUGUGCUCACGAAGCUCACCUUGCCACUCACUUCACCUCGAGUGACCACCAGAUACUAGUAAACAAAACAGUCCUUCCCUAGCAAUGCCGGGCACCCCAGGGACGUGGUGCGAGGACGGAGCCUGGCCGAGGGGCUUCACGCUCUCCUACGCCGGCCCUCCUCAGCCGGCCUUCCUGCUUCUAUCUGGAGCCUUCCCUGACAGUGAGGGGGAACUGCCCCAUGGGGUGAAGGAGGAGGCUGCACCUGACGUCAGAGGGUGGGGGCAUCAGCGGCCUCAGGAUUGAGUGCGUCCAGUCUGCAGAUGACCAUGCCAUGAUCCACGGACUCCAGGACUCCAGGCACCUCUGGACACGUGCUGUUCCCUUGCAUGAAUGUGUUCCAUUCCUUACAGCAUCACUUAGGCUGCCGUAGAAGGGAGUGAUUGCUAGGAAGGACCAGGCGUUGGCCAAGUGAAUGCAACACCUCACACUGCACUGAGCUCCGAUACAGACUAGCUGGGUCCUCCCAGAUCCACAGCCUCACCCUCAAUGCAAUUUGUCUAGAAAUUACUCCAAAUAUUUUAGUUGGAGCCCCUUUCAGCUCAGUCUGAGCCUCUGAGAUGCACCCUAAUCCUUCUCUUGAACACGCCACCACUUCCCAGGGCAGAAGGGUGCUCUAGAAUUGGGGUGCGGCUCAGCAAGGAUGUGCUUGCCUGGCUGCACAAAGCCCUGGGUUCCAUCUCCAGCACCACAAAAAUAAAGAAAAUUAAAAACAGAAGGCUGUUCUGGGCUUCUCCUGUACUUCCUGUGCCUUGCUCUGCAAUUAUCCACCUCACAAAGAACUUUUGAAAAUGUCAUCUCUGUUGAUUUUCCUGGGGCUCUAUUACCAAAAUGGCAUUCACGCUUCAAGAAUUAAGAGAUUCAGAUUCAGAGCCAUGUUGGGAGGGUUGGGUUCACUUCCAGCUGCCCUAGCCAUGUCCUCUAUGGGGACGCAUACCUGUAUCAUUCCAUGAAGGGUUGGUCCUAUUUUCAGGUUCCAAAGCGUUUGUGAGGCAAUGCCUAAAAUUUAAAGCAAUAGCAGCAAAAAGACUCAGUUCCCAAGAGUAGAAGGAAGGGUGGAAUACGUGAAAAUCAAAUGCAGGGCUGGGAUUGUGGCUCCGUGGCCGAGCGCUUGCCUUGCAAGUGUGAGGCACUGGGUUCUAUCCUCAGCAACACAUGAAAAUUAAUAAAUAAAAUGAAGUUACUGUGUCCAUCAACAACUAAAACAUAUUUUUAAAAAAUCAGAUGCAAUUAUUUGAAGUUCAGUUCAAAUUAAUUGUCGUUCAUUUUCCUGUUAUGACUUAUUUCCUUUGGGGAGAUUGGGGAUGUGAAGGACCUAGUAUUUUUAGGAAUCACCUACCUGCAUAAUCAUGAAACAAUCCGAUGGCUUUGUUUAGUUUCAGUGCUAAGGAUGGAGACCAGGGCCUUGUACAUGCUGCAUAGGCAAGUGAUCUACCACUGAGCCACAUCCCAAACCAAGAUCUUAGAUAUAUGACAUGUGCCAUCUCAAUUAGAGGUGAAAACUUUUUGACUUCAAAGACUUAUAAGGUGACACAGGAGGCAUUUGUUAUAGUGUGGGUGUGAGGUGUCUUCAAAAGCUCAUGUGUGCGACACUGCAAGAAGGCUUAAUGGCAAAAGGAUUGGGUUGUGAGAGCCUUGACCCCAUCAGUGAAUCGAUACCCCUUAAGGGGUUAACCUGUGGAAACUGAGGGCAGGUGGGGUGUGGCUAGAGGAGGUGGGUCACUAGGGGUGUGCCUUUUGUAUACAUAUAUACAAAAUAUAUUUUGAUUCUGGCAAGCGGAGUCUCUGUCUCUGUGUCACGUGAGCUGCUUCCCUCUGCCACCCUCUGCCACCAUGAAGUUCUGUCUCACCUUGAGCUCCCAGGAGGGAGCCUGCUGUCUAUUAGGAGCUCUGAAACUGUGAGCUCCUAAAUAAACUUUUCCUCUUCUACAAUUGCUCUGGUCAGAUCUUUUAGUCUCAGCAGAGAAAAUGGUGACGUAAUCAGCAUUCCACAAACUUUGGAUUUUAAUCUACAUACAACGACUAUGAAGUCUUUCCUCACCCUUAGAUUCAUUAACUACUUUGAAAGAGAGCAAUUUAGUCCUUUGCUCUGUCCACCGUGACUUUAGCUGAAGGUCACAGAUGGACCAGUUGGACUGGUCAGUGGACAGCUUCUGACGGAUCAGAUGUGGGACUGAACAGACCAGCAGGAAAGAGACCAGAGGUGAGGAAAGUGCCCGUGACAACACGGAACUGCCCGCUGUACGUCUCAAAAUCAAAACGAAAAGUAAGUACUCGCUUUACCUUGCACAUGACAGUUAGGACUACUUUUUUUUAUAUAUAUAUACCACUCUAAAAUGACAGCAAGACCAGUUUUCAUAUGAUUGAUAGAAAUAGAGGACAGAAGAAAUGACAGUGGCCAGUCAGAGCUGACCAUAUGUUGCGGAAGCCCAAAAACCACAGGAACAAGUUGUAGCUGAAUAAAGAAAAUGGAGAUGUUUACAAAAUAGAAGCAAUUUUCACACUCUUGAAACAAGAAAGGGUUGAGGAACCAGAGGCUCAGCAUUUCUGUGAGGGGACACCUGCUCGUGGGGUGGAGCUGACCUCAAGGGUAUUGGCAGGAAUCUACGCAGGGCCAGGUCCCCCUCCUCAGGGCCCGUGGCCACUGGCAUCAGCCUUGUUGACCACACUGUCUGCUUCCUGGUCCAGUAGACCCAGGGGUGGGUCCUCCAUCACCAGUCGCAUCCUAGGCACGGUCAGGGCGGGAGCAAGGCUGGACCUGGAAGAAGAGCCGUCCUGUGACAGAGCAGCACGCUUCCCCCAGAGUCCCCAUCACCUGCCACAUUCACUAAUUCCCACCAACAGCCCUCAAGUCCCUAAGGAAAAGAUGUCCCCAAAUCCAAAUGACAAAGAAGUCCCUUUGGCUUUUGUUAAUAACACACAAUAAUGCGCAAUUAAGUUGGAACAUUUUGCUUGCUUUUCAAUCAGGGGAAUCUUUAUUAAAGGCUUGGUUUUGAGCUCCAUAAUGGAUAAGCAAACGUUUUAUUUAAUAUUCAGGCCUGGGUCUCUGUAUAAGCUAGUCAGUUAACACUUGCCUGGCGGACGCGUCCCCCUAACUCUGUGAAGCUACUAGUACUUGCCUUCCUACCAAGACCUGGGACCUCUUCCUCGCUCACGCUGUCCGUGAGCAGGUGGACAGUGCCUGGUAAGGGCACAGAGCAUCUACCAUCGGAGGGGAGCAGGGAUGCUGCCUGCCAGGGCACCAUGGGAAUCGGCUGGGCAGCAUGGCCGCCUGCAGUGGCCUACGUGGCAGGUUCCUCUUCCACGCACAAUUCUUUAAAGAACCAAAAGUGGGAAACGGAGAAACCCUAAUGUGUGAAUUAAGAAGAGCUUAACCCAGUGACUACCUGGUAUGCAGUUUCAUACAUUUGAAGCAAUUUUCUAAACGAAGCAAGAGAAAGAAUUCAUCAUGAUCUUGAAACUCCACUCCUUCUUUCAGGCCUCUUUUUGUCAAUCAUGGUGUGAUGACCAAAAGGUAAAUUUGAACUGUCUGUGGCCUAUUAGCAGGCAUUCAAGCUGGUUCUAAAAAGAGGCAGGUGGUCAACAUUUUUGCUUUUGCAAGCUCCAAAGUCUGGUUUGCAACCCUGGACUCUGGUGCUGCUAGUCGAAAGCAGCCUCUGGCACUGUGUUAGCCAAUGGCACAAAACUCUUCCUACCACAGGUGACAGCUGACCUUGGCCUUCAGUCUGCAGUGUGCUGAGCUACAAGGUUCAGGGAACCUCAGCUGUCCCCUCCUGCUGCUGCUCCCAGGGGGCCCCCUCCAAACAGCCCCUUCCCAGACCUGCCUGUGCUCUCGGGUUCCAGUCCUUCCCCCACCUUCUCCCACCUAAAGUGCCAAUGUCAGAAAGGGUGCCAGGUCAAGCCUCUGUCAAUUUGUCAAACGGGGCCAUCAAUGGAAAUCUGGGGAGUAUCUCCAGCGGCUAGAGAUGGGCAAUACUUCCACUGGCUUCCUGGCACACAGCCUGAGUUUAGUUCUGGGGAAAGCAUAGAAUAACAUUAAAAAUCCAGACUUUGAGAAACUAAUUGGACAAGCUUAUUGAUACCCAUGGAUCCAAAAUAGUUUUUUGGGGAGAGGCCCACAGCCUCCUGCAUGCCACACAGCCAUGAGCUGCCCUGGGCAAGGGAGGUCUGUCCUGCACACUCCGAAGGUCCUGCAGAGCACAAGGGCUUAGUGGUCCCUUCUCAGUCGCCUUCAUAUUCUAAGGCUCGAGUCUUGGUAAAACCACCAGAAGUUUCCAGGCCUGGUCUGCGGCUCCCACCCGCCACCCUGUGCCCGGGCUUCACUAGGAGAGUCAGUGAGUGUCCGUGAAGGACAAGGAACUGGAAAUUAAAGCCGAAUUUCAUAAUUCCUCAAUGUGCCCAGAGCAGUGUUUCAGAACAUUACAGUCACUGAAUUAAAUAAACUUUCUCAGUUCCAAGUACAGUACUUUCUUUACAAUUAUUUUAACUCAUGUGUUAGGAAUUUUACGGGCAUGUACUUGUGAUUUUAUACAAUAAAGAAAUAUUUUUCCAAACCAUGUAUUGAACAAAAUUGUCCUAAGCUAUUUUAUUAGAAAGUUGAAACUGUGUGUUUCUGAGUCUAGCUUCAUUUUUACAUUUGAAGUAUCUGUUUCCUUCCUUUCACAGGGUCCACGUGUUUCCCCGUGUCUGCUCUGUAAGAUCAUUCAAAUCACUGGGUUUGCUAAGAUUUACCAACAGAAUCAAAGGGGUGUCUUCACCUCCCUGCUGUAAAGGAUACUCUGGGGUCCAGAAAUGCUGUAGUCCAUGUAAACUAAGCACUCUCCUAAUACGUGGCUUGGUAUCAGUGAUUUAUUUGUAGCCUUUUCCCGGAAGGCAAGGGACAAUCUAGAACUCCCCUGAUUGUCUCACUGUGUUUGUCCUAGGGAGUUUAAUGCACUAGUUAUCAUUAGUCUGAGCCUAGGUCUGAAAAUGUCUCUACUUGUGGUUUAAAACCUCCCUUGUCCUUUACAAAAUCUGAUUUCCUCUCAUCGUUUUACAAUUCAAAGGGAGCACUGCGGGAGCCCACUCACACCUGUUUGUCCUUCAUCCCCCACUGAGACGACCUCAGAAAAAAAUGUGAAACCCACGCAGUGGUCUUCUUUCUUGUCUCCUCCCUUUUCCAUUAAUAUUUCAUCUCCGAGGCCUGACGGGCAGGAACCUUGUUCAAGGAACAGUGUGAUUUUGAUUAAAUGUGUCUCCAGUGCUCGACUCACUUCAGAGCCCAGCCCUCCUGAAGAUGCGGAAGGUAACUGGAGGGAGCUCAGAGCCCAACAAGAUUCCAGACCAGGAACGCCUUAGGGUACAAGAGGCAUUUGUCGUGGACUCACAGGCCUGGGGGUUUUUGUUCCCAUCCAUUUUUAAAAAAUAACUGGUUUUUAGAAUGCAAGCAUGGAGGAGUGGGAAGACUACUAAAUGAAGGAAACCGCACCCUUCAUUCUUCCCCUGACCUCCUCCCGCCCCCUUCCUUCCAUCUGCUCUUUGCAAUCUGGCGUUGGGAUGUGAGGCCCUGGAAGAUCACACCAGCUUCCAACAGAAUAGGCCCCAUUUUACACCAAGUCGCUGCCUGGCAGGUGGCAACGAGGUCACCUUUGAAGAGCGGGCAAGGUGAACAACUUGCAAAUAACGUGCCUGCGGAAGGGCUCUGUGGUGACUUGCGCCAGCGGUUCAGGGUCUGGAGGCUGGGUCUUUGAAGCGCACCCUGUGGAGGCUGCAGGGAUUUUCACGCUAUGAAGGCACAUGUCCCACAAUACCGCUGGGCCGCCAUCUGAUUUGUGCCUUAUAUUCUAGGAGCAAUGCUUUUCAUGGCUUUUGUAUGGCUCUGAAAGGAGUGGCAUCAGUCAGAGUGUGCGUCUGUAUAAAUUAUGCAUCUGUGAGUUGCUGCUCACGUGGCAUGAAGAAGAGCCCUGCCUUUGUGGGGGAAGAGGAGGAAGGAGGUGGGGGAGGGGCCAAGGGAAGGCUCGGGAUCCUGAGGUCUCUGUGAGCACUAAGACCUGAAAUAAGAAUUCACAUGCAGGUAGGGGGCGGGGGAAGAGCAAGAAGGCUGUCCUGAGCCCAGGCAUUUUCCUUAGCCCUUCUCUGCCUCCUCUCUGCCCCCGUUCAUCCUGUCUGCCUAGCUGUCCUGCCCACCCCCACCCCUGCCCUGUCCCUGCAGCCUUUCACUGUGGCUGCCUGGGCAUGUCUUAGAUUCUAGUGUUGGUGGGAAAAGGUGUCAGACAGCAAGGCAGGUGCUCUGGUGGGUGUCAGUGCUUAAUCCCCAGGGCAUGGUGAUCUCAUGCUGACACCCUAUCUGGAGGCAGAAUGAGGACUUAAAUCUGGUGGAGACUGUCAUUAAAAAGAUGCAUAGAAUCAAAUGAAGCUUAAAAAAAAUUUGCUGUGGAGAAGGAAACAAAAGGUGAUGUUUGGCCACAACUCUGUCAUCCCAGACAUGCAUCAGAAAUCCUACAACAGUGUAAGCAACAGACGAUAUGUCACCGUAACUACCUCCAAGACUUGUAUGGAAUAUGACAGAAAAGGGUGCGAAUUAUCCAAGAUGAGUGAUCCUCCUGGUAGGGAACGGUCUGCACCUUGUACAGGGAAAGGCACCAAGAUGGGUGCUGUUACCCAAAGAUAGUCAUCAGAGGAGGGGACGCAGCCCACCCAAGCACCCAGUUAUUCUGUCCCGUGAGAUUCAAAGUCCUUUGUAUCCUGAACCACAAACUGGCUUUUAUUAACGUCCAAGAAGUCAUGGUGAACCUUGUAUAUGACAAUGCUAGCUCUGCUCCUGGGUUACAAGUAAAGAAAGGGAAAACCAAGAGUUAAGCUUUGAAAAAAAAAAUAGUAUGGUUAGUAAAGCAGAAGACUUGAAAAGGAGCAAAGGGAAGGAUUGCUUACCAGCCGAAGCAGUUUUGCUAAGGACAAAUACUAAACUAACUCAAUUGCUUUUGUUGAUCAGUGGCUGCAUCAGUAAGUGAAGGAAAGCAGAGGGUGGGGGGGUUCCCAGGUACAGACACGAUGUGUAUGCUGCACCUGGAUUCAGCCAGUCCUGAGAGCCACCAGUCAGCUGGGGGGACAAUACGGAGGAAGAGUUGUUUGCCUCUGACAGUAAAUCCUUCUUCCGCAUCCUUUGAUUAAUGGAGCUGUAUCCCCGGAUGGUAAAACUACCUGGGAGUGUGCCCCAGGCCCUCACACUUGUUUGGUCCUGUUCAGAAUCUAUGUCAGUGACUAGCGGACACUCCAUGUUUUGGGCCUAUUUCCAGGAGAGAAGGAAGCAUACCGUGUCUGAUGGUUUUAACGCUUACGAUUAUCACAUACAAACUCAGAUCUCCCUCCCCCAAUGCAUUAAACAUCUUGGUUCUCCCUGACUGCCUGGGGUCUGGGGUUUGUUCCCUUCUCCGUGUGGGGGUCCGCUUAUCUGGCAACUGAAAGGCCCCCUCCCGUUCCUUGUGUAGAAAUCAACCCUUGGUACCCUUCAGCUUGCCGUCUAGAGGUGUUCCAUCCAACAAGACCAAGGGCUUUCCCGGAUUCCCUGGAGAACCAGGUCCGUGGAGACGGGGAAGCUGAGCGGCACAGAGCUGUACCCUGGCUUCAGCUGCCACGGCGGCCCUCCUGCCCUGCCCUGCCCGCCAGUGUGGACCACCCUCCCCUGUUGUUCCUUCCCCUCUGUCAACUGGCUACCUGCUCCUGCGGCUGCUCUCUGGUCACCACACAGGUUGGCCUGUCCCCACCCCUGUCCUCCAGGAUUGGCUCCGUCUGGUGGCUUCUAUUUUUAUUUCUCAACAACUUUUCUUGGCUCUCCCAGUGGCUUUUUGAGUCACCAUGGAGGGUGCCUCCUUCUAGGACCUGACCUUCAGCUGGUGAGCUCUUGCUCUCCUUCAGCAGAAGGGAGAGGGCCCUUCUUUUCCUUCUUGCUAAAGGACAGACCAGGCCAGGCUGAAUUUUCUGGUUAAUGUAUUUAUACAUUCUGAGAUAUACAUAUGUAUGUAUAGAUCUAUAGAUGUAUAUGUAUAUCUCAGAGAGAGAGAGAGAGAGAGAGAGAGAUGCACACACUCUAAGUGCUAGGGGGUUAAUGUCAUUACUAUUAUUGUUAAUAUUGCCACUACUAUUGCUAUUAAUAGCAUUUUAUCUUCUUGAGAGUGAGAAGACGUUAUGCUCAUCCACAGUCAUACACCAAACGCAAUCAUGAUGAAUAUGUGGUUAUUCUUCUAACGUUACAUAAGAGAACACUUAUUUCUUACUGUGACAACAUAUGUAUCCUGAACCACAAACUGGCUUUUAUUAACAUCCAAGAAGUCAUGGUGAACCUUGUAUACGACAAUGCUAGCUCUGCUCCUGGGUUACAAACGUAAAGAAAGGGAAAACCAAGACUUAAGCUUUGAAAAAAAAAUAGUAUGGUUAGUAAAGCAGAAGACUGUAAAUAGUUACCUGUUGGUGAAACAUGAUUAAAAAUGAGAGGACACAGCUUUUUCUCUAAAAUAACACUAUGUGUUUCAAUAUGUAGCAUGGUCUUAAUACUUUCAAACCUUGGACACCCUUAAAAUUUUUAUUAGAUAGCUAAAAAAAUUAAGUAUAGAUAGUUAAUAAUAGGAAAGGGGAAAAAAGAAAACAAUCAAAAAAAUAAUAUCUGGGAAACCUUGUCGGUUGUUGAUGAUUUAAAAUUGUUCUCCAACCACGAGAGAAUGGCAAGUAUGUGGGAGGAUGCAACUUGUAAAUAGUGUAAUUCAGCCAUUCGUGUGUGCAUGUAUGUGUGUGUGUGUGUGUGUGUGUGUGAGAGAGAGAGAGAGAGAGAGAGAGUGCUUGUACCUGAAAGCAUCAUGUAUGCUAUAAAUAUGUAGAAAUUUUUAUUGGUCAGUUAAAAAAAUACUUAAAAGUGGCCUCUCCAUUUAGCACAGCUGAGCAUUUCCUAAGCUCUAUUCUCCUCCCAGCUCUCUAGAACCUUCGACUAUAAAAGACUGGGUUUUAAGAGUAACCUCUGGUUCUUUUGUUGUUGUUGUUGCUAUUUAUUUAUUUAUUUCUUCCAGGAACAAUAUAAGGGUCUCCAAUUAGUUGCAGGUGCAAAUAUUAUGCAUGCAAUUAAUUGUCUUCAAAUGGUUAAUUAUGGGCAGAAUUGGCUAAUUUGGGGUGCAAUUAACUACUUGCCACUUACUCUGAGAAUGCCCGUAGACAAUAGUGUCUGCGAUUAAUUUACAAGAGCCAUUACAGAGAGAACCUUGUACUAUAAAUCCAAGAAUGGAGUGGGAGAGUUCUUUAGAAGCAUGAUUUCACUCUGGGUUAAUUGCAUUGACUCUUCCCUUUGGCUUUUCUAUGCAGGUUGACUGUAAAUGGAGUUUCUUCCAGUUGCUUCCUUGGUGUGUGCAGAUGUGCUGGUGAUGAACGUGCGGAGAGCCUGGAGAAGUCUGGGCGUGCUCCCCAAGCACAGGGCCCUCUGUUGCUGGUCUGCAGGGCCAGGUCCAGUUUUGCCUACUUGUUUUAUGUGUCUGUUGACUUUCUUCUGUGGCUUUCCGGAUACAGCAGUGCACGAGUGCUUGCAGAAAUGAGCUUCUCCAAAUCAUUCUCAAGAAGCUCAACAUCUUUGUUAAAUGGUCAACUUUUAAAGUCAUCUUAUUAGCAAUAAUCAAUACACAGGUCCCACAAGAAACCACAGAUAUAAUUUUAAAAUUUAUAGUUCUUUAUAAAGACCCUUUAUGGACCUAAGAACUGUGAUUAAACUACCUUAUUUAAUCUUCCAAAUAAUCCUAUGGAUUAGGCAUUCUUCUCACCCAUAUUUUGCUUAUAAACUCGAAAAAAAGUUUGGCAACUUGCCAGUCAAUGGUGAAGCUGGGAUCAAACCCUGUUUGCACGUCUGUCAGCCCUGAGUCUUGGUAGAUAUGCUGUAUGUGGGCCUAUGGACCAGGAAGGGCAUUGGGAGCCCAUGCUAUCCAACUUCUUCAUCUGGACAGAUGGACUUAUGGUGGCGCACACAGCUCACUGAGGCCAUGCCAAGCUUAGAAACCAGAUUUCCUGCUGCCCAAUACAAUGCUCUAACCACAGUGCACUACCAAAGGAAGGCUCUGUGAGGCAGUUCUGUCCGUUUCUAUCUAUUCUUAAUAAAAAGGGGUUUUCCUGCGGAAUUUGCAACACUUGAGGGUUUGGGUGCAGGGCACCCGUUGAAGAGGCCUUCCGCUGCACGGCCUCUGUGGACCUUGGUGGCUUCCCAUCAGAAGGCUGCAGCUGUGGUGACUGCAGGCUGCCGCCAGGUUCCCGAGAGCCUGUUCUUCACAUCUUGCUUCCUGAGCACUGGCAAAGGGUGAGUAAUCAAAGGUGACAAGCUUUCUCCUCUGGCCCCACCACUGGUACAAGGCCAC
rnacentral:lncRNA from 1 species